rnacentral:rRNA from 1 species
UCGCCACGGUAAUACCAGCCCCGCGAGUGGUCGGGACGUUUAUUGGGCCUAAAGCGCCCGUAGCCGGCCCAGCAAGUCCCCUCCUAAAAACCUCGGGGCUCAACCCGAGGGGUGGGGGGGAUACUGCCGGGGCUAGGGGGCGGGAGAGGCCGGGGGGUACUCCCGGGGUAGGGGGCGAAAAUCCUAUAAUCCCGGGAGGACCACCAGUGGCGAAGGC